UUCUAUCAGAACAAAGAUUGUUCUCUUUUCUUGAACAAUCCUCUAUUUAAGAGUGUAAUGUUGGAUACAAUGUAUUGUAUUGUCAAUUAUUUCAGUGCAAAUUGGAAAAUUCUUUAGCUACAUUAUCAUAGAAACUAAAAUUGAUUUGAUUUAACUCAACCUUUCAUGGGUUUUGUUCUAUUAUACUAAACAGGGUUGUGCUAGGAAUCCUACUCAUGCAUUCAUGGGGCUUGUCAGCAAGGGUCUUGAGCUAUGGAUAUAUUAGAUACAUUGUAGAAGCCCUGGAGAUGCUAUUGAUGUCCAUGGCAAAAGAUGGUACUGAGGCUCUUGGGCUCAAUGGGAAAUGAUGCUCCUUUGGCUGUGAUGUCCAACAGAGAGAAACUUACAUUUGAGUAUUUCAAGCAGAUGUUUGCUCAGGUAACAAACCCACCGAUUGAUCUGAUUCGAGAGAAAAUAGUCACGUGGAAGGGGACCUUACUGAAACAGUUCAUGUGGAAGGCUAUGUGGCAGUUUGUUUGUUUUGAAAACUUUCAAUAGACCAUUAAUAGUUUUGUUGGUAUUGUGCU